UUAUUGCACUAUAAGGAUACGUAGGCAUGAGGGCCUUAAUCCUCACCGAGCACUUUGUUUAUUCCAUUCUUUUUCCCUUUAGCCUUUUACGAGUAAUAUUUAGAUAUUAACACCCAUCCGAGCAAAGAACAAGCAAAAUGGUUCCCAUUGAGUACAACGGAUGUGAGGGGUGCUAAUAUUUUCCCCUUGCAUAACCGACUUCCUUGCCCUAUUU
rnacentral:lncRNA from 1 species